rnacentral:lncRNA from 1 species
CGUCAUCCCCUUUCAGGCAUGGUUAUUGCGAAAGCUGAAGAAGCUGACUACUACUAGGAAUCCGAUCCGCUCCAACCCGCCCAAAGUGAUUCCGUAAUCCGUAUACUAACUACCGUGUACGUUAAGUUAACUAAUUUAUGGAGUAUGCACGUAAUUCGAUGAGCAAUUGGGGUUGAAACGGGCGUCGAGUCCGCGGUAGUACAAAGUUUUAGAUACUCGAAUGACAAAUUCCCUCUCUUCACCAGAUAGUUAGAUAGUCAACAGAGUACGGCGCUGGAUAGCUUACUACUACAUACGCACGCAGCAGCGAUUUCUCUCGCACACCGUUAACUAACUAGAACGACGUCCAUACGUAAUAACAAUUAGCUGACUAGUCAAUUAGUUAGUACGGGGUAAUUAGUGCAUUCUUCAAGUCACCCUGACACUGGUCGGCGUCCAUCAUGUCAUGCCAUGCAACAAGACUGAUUCAGUGGACUGCAUAUCUAGUGCAUAGCUCUGAAGGUCUGAUCACCUCUCCGAAAUCAUUCCGCGUUUCAAGUUCACCAUCAUUUUCCUUGCUAAUAGAAGUGGUAAGUUAACUAAGGUAAGUUAGUUAGCUAGUUAGUUAGCUAGUUAGUUAGUUAGCGAGUCCUUGAUUAUCGUCAUCACAUGAAUACCAAAGCACACAUAUGCACUCCAUACUGAUCAACGGACAAGCCUUGCAGAAUCUCCAAUGUCAGAAAGUCAGAAAAGUGGUUUUAACGGUGGGGUCUCUCGAUACAUGGAUACUACUAUACUACGUACGUAGUAUAAUAGCCCCUAUUAAUCUUAAGAGUCAUAUGUAGUAGACUUAAACGUA